GACGUAGGGCGCGAGCGUUGUCCGGAUUUAUUGGGCGUAAAGAGCUCGUAGGCGGCUUGUCGCGUCGUUCGUGAAAACCCACGGCUCAACUGUGGGCUUGCGGUCGAUACGGGCAGGCUGGAGUUCGGUAGGGGAGACUGGAAUUCCUGGUGUAGCGGUGAAAUGCGCAGAUAUCAGGAGGAACACCGGUGGCGAAGGCGGUUCUCUGGGCAUUACCUGACGCUGAGGAGCGAAAGUGUGGGGAGCGAACAGG
rnacentral:rRNA from 1 species